AUUGAACGCUGGCGGCAGGCCUAACGCAUGCAAGUCGAGCGGAUGAAAGGAGCUUGCUCCUGGAUUCAGCGGCGGACGGGUGAGUAAUGCCUAGGAAUCUGCCUGGUAGUGGGGGACAACGUUUCGAAAGGAACGCUAAUACCGCAUACGUCCUACGGGAGAAAGCAGGGGACCGUCGGGCCUUGCGCUAUCAGAUGAGCCUAGGUCGGAUUAGCUAGUUGGUGAGGUAAUGGCUCACCAAGGCGACGAUCCGUAACUGGUCUGAGAGGAUGAUCAGUCACACUGGAACUGAGGCACGGUCCAGACUCCUACGGGAGGCAGCAGUGGGGAAUAUUGGACAAUGGGCGAAAGCCUGAUCCAGCCAUGCCGCGUGUGUGAAGAAGGUCUUCGGAUUGUAAAGCACUUUAAGUUGGGAGGAAGGGUUGUAGAUUAAUACUCUGCAAUUUUGACGUUACCGACAGAAUAAGCACCGGCUAACUCUGUGCCAGCCGCCGCCGUAAGAC
rnacentral:rRNA from 1 species